CCAGGGGGCGUAGCCGGUGAAAGCUUCAACCAAUUAGAGAACGUCAUUCAUCCCACCAAAGUCCCUAUGCGAAAACCGUAUUAGUCCGCGGAAAGUUUUCUUUGGGGUUGCAGAAAUUUGGCUUACGGAGCUCGGCUUAGGAAAUGUCUUCAAUGCAUCAGGUAUCCACCUCUUUAUCUGAUGUGAAGUAGGGAUCCAGUAUUAUCACCCAGCUUCUCUAACCUCAUCUACCAAACAAUUUGUGCUUUCUUGUCAUUGGUAGGGCACUGUGCUAGUCAGAGGAAGAGAACAAAAUAAGCUGUCCCCACCUUGUUGGAUGGUACUGGCCCACGGAGGAGGCCGUCAUUAAACCAGGAACACAAGUAAUCCUGUAAUUUGUGCUAAGAACCUUGAAAGUGAGAACUGGGUGUUGCCUUAAGAGGGUGGAACAGGGAAAUCUACAUUAGGUAAGGGAGCAGAAGACCUGUCUGACAAGCAGAUGGUUAUGCUGGAGCUUUGCCAUUUUAGGACUCUUUCCAGUACAAGUGCAGAAAUCCAAUCCAAGAGAGCUUAAGCCAAAAACGGAAAACUGCUGUGUAUAAGUAACUGAAGAGCCUUGGAUAGGGCUCGGGGGAGAGAGCAUCAGGAGUGACUGUGGAGACACAAAACUGUUUGGGAACUAGACAGACGUGCUCGUUGCACAACACUGGAAAUGUACUAAGUGCCACUGAUCUGUACACUUCAAAAUGGUUACUUUUAUGUGACAUACAUUUCACCUCAAUUAAAAAAAAAAAAAAGUGCCUGUGAUUCUACGGCGAGGAUCCCAGAUCAUUAGGAACGGCCUCUGUGGGUGAAGUAGUUAGUAACAUCCAGCGGGAGAAGGACAGAUGUGUUCUGACCCCGUUCACCAAGGUUCCUUAAUGCUCCGAUGGCACUCUAAGUCAGAUACGGGAAUGAUGCACCCGCAGUCUCCUGACAUGACCCGCAAAAACCGUCCAGAACCACCUAGUUACCACCUUCUGUGUAUGGAAGUCACGGUGUUUGCUGAUCUUUGGUGGGUAGCUUCAUCUGUCAUCUGUCCCUGGCUGACACAUUACAACCUUGGGACCAGGCGGUGACAACCCACAAAUCUUGGUGUGUGCAAGUAGCUUCCUGUGGGGUUCCCUGUUGAUGGCAGGGGUUAAGGAUAUGGUGAGUGGGCAUGGGUACCCCUUCUCAUUUCCUUCUAAGUGUGCCUGCUGGGGCUGGAACGCUGACUGCUGCAUUUCCCAGGCUUCCUUGCUUCUAGGGUUCUGGAAUCAAAUUAGGCCCUCCAGUUAGAUGCACUUGGGUAAGAUUUGGCAGACGGAGGAGAAGAGGGCACAUCUUCCUGAUGCUUUGCGUAUUGUGCCAGCAAAAGCACUGUGUGUCUCUUUUGUUUGUUUGGUUUUGUUUUUUGUUUUUUUGGGGUUUUUUUGUAGGCCGUCCAAUGCCCAGCACCAGAUCCAUAAAUGAGCGUAACACUUGGAAAUAGAGGCACCUGGGUGGCUCAGUCGGUUAAGCUUCCAACUCUUGAUUUCGGCUCGGGUCAUGAUCUCAGUUUGUGGGAUCCAGCCCCAUGUUGGGCUCUGUGCUGACAGCUCAGAGUCUGCUUGGCAUCCUCUCUCUCCUCUCUCUGCUCCUCCCCAGCUUAUGCUCUCUCUGUCUCUCAAAAUAAGUAAACAUU